rnacentral:rRNA from 1 species
UGGGGAAUAUUGGGCAAUGGGCGAAAGCCUGACCCAGCAACGCCGCGUGAGGGAAGAAGGUUUUCGGAUUGUAAACCUCUGUCGCAGAUGACGAAGGAAGUGACGGUAAUCUGUGAGGAAGCCCCGGCUAACUACGUGCCAGCAGCCGCGGUAAUACGUAGGGGGCGAGCGUUGUCCGGAAUUACUGGGCGUAAAGGGUGCGUAGGCGGCAGUGUAAGUUGGAUGUGAAAUACCCGGGCUUAACUUGGGGGGUGCAUUCAAGACUGCACAGCUAGAGUACAGGAGAGGAAAGCGGAAUUCCAAGUGUAGCGGUGAAAUGCGUAGAUAUUUGGAGGAACACCGGUGGCGAAGGCGGCUUUCUGGACUGAAACUGACGCUGAGGCACGAAAGCGUGGGGAGCAAACAGG